CGCAUCUGUGCAUGCAGCAUAUCAAUAAGCGGAGGAAAAGAAACUAACAAGGAUUCCCUUAGUAACGGCGAGUGAAGCGGGAAGAGCUCAAAUUUGAAAUCUUCAAGGUUUUACCUUGACGAAUUGUAGUUUAAAGAAGUGUUUUCUGUUGAAGUUUUGGUAAAAGUUCUUUGGAAUAGGACAUCAUAGAGGGUGAGAAUCCCGUAUUUGACCAUUACUUUCAACUGUGUGAUACACUUUCAAAGAGUCGGAUUGUUUGGGAAUGCAGUCCAAAAUGGGUGGUAAAUUUCAUCUAAAGCUAAAUAUUGGCGAGAGACCGAUAGCGAACAAGUACCGUGAGGGAAAGAUGAAAAGAACUUUGAAAAGAGAGUUAAACAGUACGUGAAAUUGUCAAAAGGGAAGCGUUUGACACCAGUGUUGUUUUCUCGAAAAUCAAUUAAAAGAAGUUGAUUUUGUAAGUUGUAUUAGACCUUAUCAGCUAAUGCUUCAGCUCUUUGCAGCUUUUCUUUAAUGCACUUUUCAGUUAACAAGUCAACAUCAAUUUCUUUUGCUUGUAAAAAGGUCAUUGGAAGGUGGCUUGCGCUUCGAGAAGUGUUUAUAGCCUCUUGAUCUCUGCAGUCGGAGAGACUGAGGUCUGCAGCGUAGAUCCUUCGGGGUUAAAUAGCAUUUGUGCUAAGCUACUAGCAUUUUCAUAGACAACUUGUUGACUAUGAUUUAGUCUUGUAGCUUACCUCGCUUAUGCUAUUUUACCUACGCUUAGGAUGUUGAUAUGCAUGACUGAUAU
rnacentral:rRNA from 1 species